GGGGCUGAUCGGUUUCGACUUGGGACGUACGUCCCAGGGGAAGCGGGUCGAGGAGCCAACGUCAUCUCGUAAACGAUCGUUGGGAACUUAUAACUGCCGACUCUAAGCGCAGUUCCUUCGCUCUCGCUGCCUGAGCAGUGAUCGAAGCGUCAGACCGGGCAUCCGUCUCCGUCCCGGAUCCUGGCGUCAUCUAGGAGACUUGCUGAUCACCUGCUGUCAGGGCGGGUGAUCGGGACUCAAACCUGACUGGGCCUGUCGGCGACGUGUUCGUGCGAGCGUCGGGGCCGAGAAAACGACAGCACGGACUGCACCCGGAGAAGACCUGGUUCGACGCUCGAGGACGCGGGUUCGAUUCCCGCCAGCUCCAC
rnacentral:tmRNA from 1 species